CGUAGGUAACCUGCCUGGUAGCGGGGGAUAACUAUUGGAAACGAUAGCUAAUACCGCAUAAGAGUAGAUGUUGCAUGACAUUUGCUUAAAAGGUGCAAUUGCAUCACUACCAGAUGGACCUGCGUUGUAUUAGCUAGUUGGUGGGGUAACGGCUCACCAAGGCGACGAUACAUAGCCGACCUGAGAGGGUGAUCGGCCACACUGGGACUGAGACACGGUCCAG
rnacentral:rRNA from 1 species